rnacentral:rRNA from 1 species
GACGAACGCUGGCGGCGUGCCUAAUACAUGCAAGUAGAACGCUGAAGGAGGAGCUUGCUCUUCUGGAUGAGUUGCGAACGGGUGAGUAACGCGUAGGUAACCUGCCUGGUAGCGGGGGAUAACUAUUGGAAACGAUAGCUAAUACCGCAUAAAAGUAGAUGUUGCAUGACAUUUGCUUAAAAGGUGCAAUUGCAUCACUACCAGAUGGACCUGCGUUGUAUUAGCUAGUUGGUGGGGUAACGGCUCACCAAGGCGACGAUACAUAGCCGACCUGAGAGGGUGAUCGGCCACACUGGGACUGAGACACGGCCCAGACUCCUACGGGAGGCAGCAGUAGGGAAUCUUCGGCAAUGGACGGAAGUCUGACCGAGCAACGCCGCGUGAGUGAAGAAGGUUUUCGGAUCGUAAAGCUCUGUUGUAAGAGAAGAACGAGUGUGAGAGUGGAAAGUUCACACUGUGACGGUAUCUUACCAGAAAGGGACGGCUAACUACGUG